CCCUGAUCCAGCCAUGCCGCGUGUGUGAAGAAGGCCCUCGGGUUGUAAAGCACUUUCAGCGAGGAAGAACGCCUGUCGGUUAAUACCCGGUAGGAAAGACAUCACUCGCAGAAGUAAGCACCGGCUAACUCCGUGCCAGCAGCCGCGGUAAUA
rnacentral:rRNA from 1 species